rnacentral:rRNA from 1 species
AGCGCACUCUUUUGAGUGAGCGGCAAACGGGUGAGUAACGCGUGGGAAUCUACCCAUCUCUACGGAAUAACACAGAGAAAUUUGUGCUAAUACCGUAUACGUCCUAUUGGAGAAAGAUUUAUCGGAGAUGGAUGAGCCCGCGUUGGAUUAGCUAGUUGGUGAGGUAACGGCUCACCAAGGCGACGAUCCAUAGCUGGUCUGAGAGGAUGAUCAGCCACACUGGGACUGAGACACGGCCCAGACUCCUACGGGAGGCAGCAGUGGGGAAUAUUGGACAAUGGGGGCAACCCUGAUCCAGCCAUGCCGCGUGAGUGAUGAA